AGUAAUAUAUUCCAACAUUAAUUUCUAAACAGAAAAUAAUUAAUUCAGUUUUAAACAUUUGUCUGCAAUCAGUGGACAUAUGUGUGGCAAUAAAGAUGUGAACGCUGUAAACUCUUAAAUUAGAUGCUUAUUUAAAAAAAAAAAAAAACAUGCUUUCAGGAAAUAAUUGAGAGGACAGGGAUUGAUCAUCUGUUCACAGCUGAACUGGCCUGGACCACAGCGAGACUCUUCUGUCUCAGUCAGAUGGAAGAAGAGCUCCUGGAAGAGCUGGACAAAGAAAAGUGUCUUUCCCAGCUGUUCAGCAGGAAGGUCACACUGGAGGGCCUUCAGAUGUUUGUCACAGUUGUCCACCCAA